CCUCAGCCUCCCAAAGUGAGGGCCAGGUUUUUUUGUACAUAAUAUUCUAUAUAUUAUUCUGUGCACUUGAAAACUGCACUCACCAGCAUCAUCAAUCACGUCCUAAUUGCUAGCCCAGUGGAUGUUUGGUGGUUCUCUGGAAUAUCUCUGUGGUGUGCUCCUCUGCUUGCCCUGUCUUCUUUUUCACCCUGUCCUCCCUACUAGGUGCUGAGUACUGCCUGAUGCUAGAGAUAGGGCAGUGAAUAAGACAGAUACAACCCCUGCCCUGCCCUCACGGAGCUUAAAGUCUAGCGGGAAAACAGAUCAGUUGGCAAACAAUUUUCACUCAAUUGAUAAGAGCUACCAUCAGCUCCUUUUAACCCCUCCUUCCUGGAUUUGUCCAGGUAGCUUUCAGCCAAUCCCUUUCCUCGACGAGGUACCUGUUUCACAUGUCCUGAUCUUUCCUUGUCCUCUCUUAAGGGGUCUUGUGGAUUCCCAGUCUGGAUGACAGUGACCCAGACUGCGAAUAUUUGCUAAGACCAGGAGAUCUAAGGAGCCCUUGAAGGGAGCCUAUAACCCAGCUUGGCAGGAUCAAGGAAGGCUUCCAGGAGGAAGGGAUGACUAAGCAGCUGAGACCUGAAGAAUGGGCAGGUGAAGGUGGGAAGAAAGAAUGAUCCAGACAGAAGAGAUGCAUUUGCAGUGGCUUAGAGAUUAGAGGCUGGUUCAAGGCAGCAGACAGCAUAAAGCCUAACACGUAUUAGGCUAAUGUCACCGAGCAAAGAAAGCAUCAAAGUGGCGGGUCGGGCCCUAAACCCACGAUGGGAGAUACCACAUUCGGCCACAAGAGGGCGCGUCACAUUUUCUCCAAGAGAAGCUGGGCCGCUGAUGAAGGACGGGCUCCGGGCCUCCCAGAGACACUUCACCUCCUGGGAUCUUGCUCUAAGGAAGCCCGGUGCGAAGGAGGUGGCUUUCUCAGGUGGUCGCGCUAGAUGUCCAAGGCUUUAUGUUCGGUCAGAUGAGCUGUAUAAUAAAAUGAAAGUGUUAACUGGCA